AAUCAACGCUGGCGGCGUGCCUCAGACAUGCAAGUCGAACGAUUAAAGCUCUCUUCGGAGAGUGCAUAGAGUGGCGCACGGGUGAGUAACACGUAGGUAAUCUACCCUCAAGUUCGGGAUAACGAUCUGAAAGGAUCGCUAAUACCGGAUGUGUUCCGAAAGGAAGAAAGACCCGCAAGGGUCGCUAGAGGACGAGCCUGCGGCCCAUCAGCUAGUUGGUGAGGUAAUGGCUCACCAAGGCUAAGACGGGUAGCUGGUCUGAGAGGAUGAUCAGUCACACUGGAACUGAGACACGGUCCAGACUCCUACGGGAGGCAGCAGUGGGGAAUAUUGCGCAAUGGGCGAAAGCCUGACGCAGCCACGCCGCGUGAGCGAUGAAGGCC
rnacentral:rRNA from 1 species